rnacentral:rRNA from 1 species
CCUACGGGUGGCAGCAGUGAGGAAUAUUGGUCAAUGGACGCAAGUCUGACCCAGCCAUGCCGCGUGCAGGAAGACGGCUCUAUGAGUUGUAACCUGCUUUUGUACGAGGGUAAACGCAGAUACGCGUAUCUGUCUGAAAGUAUCGUACGAAUAAGGAUCGGCUAACUCCGUGCCAGCAGCCGCGGUAAUACGGAGGAUUCAAGCGUUAUCCGGAUUUAGUGGGUGUAAAGGGUGCGUAGGCGGUCGGAUAAGUUAGAGGUGAAAUCCCGAGGCUCAACUUCGGAAUUGCCUCUGAUACUGUUCGGCUAGAGAGUAGUUGCGGUAGGCGGAAUGUAUGGUGUAGCGGUGAAAUGCUUAGAGAUCAUACAGAACACCGAUUGCGAAGGCAGCUUACCAAGCUACUUCUGACGUUGAGGCACGAAAGCGUGGGGAGCAAACAGGAUUAGAUACCCCAGUAGUC